CCUUUUGUGCCAUGUUUUAAGCCUGAGGGAAAGGACUCUGUUGUUUUUAUUGAUUUGUAAGCUACUCUCAGUGCUUUUCUGACUGAACAGUGGGGUAUAAAUGCUUAGGGAAAAAAAUACAUUUAAUAUUUUCAGCUGCAGUAAUACUUUUUUUUUAAAGUUGGGGCUCUUCCAUUUUCUCUCUUAGUUUGGGGUCAGGUCAGGGGUAAUGUGGCAGCAGAUGUGGAAUUAAAGCACUCUUUUUUCUUUUUUGCACCCAUGUAUUGUUGAAAUAAAAGCUUCUUCUUGCUGGAAAUUAAUUAUUGAGUGUUGCGAUGCUUUAUAAGAUAUUUAUAUAUUCUCUUGAGCCCUGUCUCUUUCUGUAUCAGAGUGCUAUCUAGAGAGCAGUUCAGGCGAGAGAACUGCUCAGCUUCACUUCCUGGUUCUCCCCUCUGCUGAACUGUAUCAAGACAACACACUAAAACAAAGGGGGAGAUGAGCCAGAGAAUAGAUAAAUAUUAAAUUACACUGGUUGGUUUCAUCUUUGGAAGGAUGGUGACCUGAAUCUGCACGUGUAGCUCUCUCUUCCUCUCCCCUAGCAUUUAUUUGGAUGUGCUGUGCUCUUGGAUUAAAGCCUCCAAAAAUUACAAUGAUUUAAAAAAAGGCAGACAAAAGUAGGGCCCAACUACAUGAUCUAUUCAGCCAUAAGUUGUGUUUCAUCCCAGCAUUUUCUUUUUCCCUUUUUACUCAAAAGUAACCACCUACAAGGCAGUUCUGAAGAAAAACAGUGGAGGGGAAGGAUGGUUGCUCCAAAUUUUUUCUUUCAGGUUGUUUCCCCCCCUGCUCAGUCUUUCCCCAGAUUCUCUCUCCCCCCCACCCCCCGCUUCAUAGGCAACAAACAAGAUACAGCGAGCUACUCAUAUAUUUUCCCCCCUGCAGCUUGCUGGAGGUGGGGGAAGCAUGCUUUUGAGCAGAAAGCCAGCCUGAGGAGACAGGGUUAAACAAACUGUAGUAAUUGGUAUUUAUAGAGUUAAAUAUUGUCUCCAGCAAUUAAUGAGUUGGACUCUCUAGCAUGUUAUUUUCCAAUGUAGUUGAAUUUUAUUCUGUUCAUCAAUAAGCAGCCUCCUGUUCUGGACCUACAGAGUAAGUAACUUUGCUUUGUGUUAAAUACUGUAAAUACAGAUAUCUGUCCUCCUCUGCUGUAUCUUUUUUUAAGUCUGCAGCAUACCAUGAGUUAACUUUUUUUAAAAGAAAAAUCACUGGCGAAAAUAUAAAUGUGUAAUAUGUAACGAGUUUUGGUAUUGUUGACAAGAUCUAUUGCUGUCCAGUUGUGAUUAGUGCUGAAAUAUGCAUGGGUCUUUUUCCAUUUUUUAAAAAACCUCAACUGCAGGGCUUAGCAAAAAUUUAGCAGAAUUGUGAUGUGCAGGGCUGUGGGGACAGAAAAAGCAUAUAUGUUUUGGGGAACCUUGUGAGAGAGUGCUGUGCAUACUCCAGACAGAGACAGGACCAUCUGUCACGGGAGAUGAUUUUUCUUUUUGGUCUCAAGUUGCAGCGAGAAUGUGAUGGAACUAUGAGGAAUGUGUAUAUGCACCAAAAUUAAUUUCACAAUCCUGUAUUUCUAACUAUAUAAAGAUAAUAAUUUGCCAAAGGUGAUCAAUACUCGAGUGAGGCAAUUGCAGAGCCUGAGUUUGAAACCAGAUUUUUCAGCUUCUAACUCACGUAUUUUUUCCGCUGGACCAUGCCAGCUGUAGACAGGCUCUGGAGUACUGAACAUUAACAGUUUACAAAUUGGUUGGCAGCAGUUUACAUUAGUGGUGUUUAUUUUAUUAGCUAAGCAACUGCUUUAUUGGGCUAUUGGAGCAGUGCCCUUUCCCCUUCUAGCAAGCAUUUAAUUAUUUUUACAAGCCACAGUACUACAACAAUCUGGCUUAUGCAACUAUUCAGAAAGUGACCUGCAGUCCUCUCCUCCUCCUGGGUAACUAGGCUGUGAAGGAGAUGCAUUAUCUUAUGUAAUUCUUAUAUUUUGAUGCUUAAUUUGUAGCGUGAGGCCAGGUCCAAAACAACUGGUUAGCCUUCCCUGAGCCCCAUGUUUGUGGAGACUGGUUCAGAUGAUUCAGAAAAGCACCGUGCACAUAUCCCAAGGCACUCUUCUUGUGCUUGUCAAUGCACUCUGUGGCUCUGGGGCCACAUCCAGAGUGCCCUUUGGCGAUCCCCUUCCUUCCUGGGCAGAUUUCAGAUUCAGUAAACUUUGCCGGGUGAGUCUAUGAACAUUUGCAAGAAGCAGAGCUCGGACCCGGAAGAGAACUUAAGCAUGUGCUUUGGGAUUUUGAUUUAGGACCAGAACACUUAUCACAAAAUCUCCUCCUUCCAAAUUUAAAAACACAGCAAGAAUCUGCUUCUGUUUUGGAGCGUUCAAAACUGUUCGCAGAGGGAUGCCAUAAAAUAUUUGCCUUUCUGUCAGUUAGGCUCCGCAAGGUGACUUAGGAACUAUGUAAAAUCAAUACAAUUAAAAACGUAAUAAGACAACAAUGCCACAAGUCUUCCCUGGAGCUGAGUUUUGCUGUUCAGGCACCAGUCAAAAUCCCAUUUGGGAUGAAGCUGAGAUAUGAAGAAAAUAAGAACUUCAUUGGAUGUGGCAGUAACUGCAUUGCCUAUAAUUACAGAGAUGUGCUUCUUGUUCUUCAGGUGAGCAAAUAUCCCAUUCUUGCACUCCUGAGCAUGCAGUUCAGGUGUAGGACUGAAAACACAAACGUAGUAGAACGCGAAGAUAAAUGAGAUGUGCGAGAACAAAAGGUCUGUGGGCUCUUUGAGAUUUAAUGUUAUGCUCUUUCUUUUGUACUUGUAUGUUUCGUAAAACCUAAGCUUCCACUUCAACAAAAUGCAAAGCUUUUAAAAAUCCCUUCCAGCUGUGAAGCUAUCAAAAGCUAUGUAGAUAAGUGCAUUCUUGCUUGUCUUGGCAACUUAGAUCUUUCGACGCAGUCAGUAAAUUUAGUAGAGGACAACAGAGUUGUUGCUUAUUGCCAGAUUAUCAUUCUGCUUUUAACAUUAAAAAAAUGACAGCAGCAAGGCAUCAUCAUUGCCUCAGUUGGCCACAGCAGGACCAGGUAUUCUAACUAAAGUAAUUUACUGAACAGACCUAUGCAUACAUACUCAGAAGUCUGUGCAUAUUAAAUGGUGCUUAGUCUCAGGUAAAUAUGUGUAGGAUUGGAGCCUUAGGAUUUGUACCUUAAACGCCAGUGCAGAAUGCAGAUGUCUUUGAAAUCUGGGUGUGGGAGGGGUUGGACAGGUCCAGCAUCUAAUUCUUCCUGGGGUGAAUUUCCAGACUGCAGAAAGUCUAGUAAUUCCUCAUUACCUGCCCCUGAAGUUUUCAUGAUGUUUUUGACUUCCUUCAGCCAAGAGUGGACAGAUUGGUUUUGUUUCCAGACAUUUUUUUUAAAAAAAGAGUGUCUAGCCUACAAUUCAAAUAACUAUACAUUAUUCAGAGCUGCUUGCUGCAGCUAAAAGAAAGAAAUGGAAAAACAGGUUUACUUGUUGCUUUCAAGGUAUGUAUGCAGAGUACCUUUAUGACAUUUGUAUGAGUUAAACAUGAGUUAGGAAAUACACAGGGGGAAAAUUAAACAUUUGCUGUCAAUAUAAACAAACAACGCAUAAAUACUAUUGCAGCAGGGAACUUAAAUGAAUGAACUCACUUUGCUGUUGACUUUAUUGUUCAUUAAACUGACUUUUCAAUAUGUUGAGCAAAAACCGAGCAUAUAUUAAGAUGUGCUGAACUGUUACCUUCAUGAAUAUGUUAAAUGCUUCCUUCCAUACCAUCAGUAUUGGUAUCAAAGACAAUAAAGGAAGUAAACAGGGAAGAAGUUGACUAUAGUGCUUUGAAAGUUGCUGUAAUUGAUUACAAAAUAUAUGUGGUUAAAGAAGUCCUUGUCAUGGU